rnacentral:rRNA from 1 species
GACGAACGCUGGCGGCGUGCCUAACACAUGCAAGUCGAACGGAGUUAAGUGCUUCGGUAUUUAACUUAGUGGCGAACGGGUGAGUAACGCGUGAGAAACCUGCCUUUCAGUGGGGGACAACAGUUGGAAACGACUGCUAAUACCGCAUGAUACUUUUUGGGGGCAUCCCUAAAAAGUCAAAGCUUUAUGUGCUGAAAGAUGGUCUCGCGUCUGAUUAGCUAGUUGGUGAGGUAAUGGCUCACCAAGGCGACGAUCAGUAGCCGGUCUGAGAGGAUGAACGGCCACAUUGGGACUGAGAUACGGCCCAG